rnacentral:rRNA from 1 species
GACGUCCUACGGGGGGCAGCAGUGAGGAAUAUUGGUCAAUGGCCGAGAGGCUGAACCAGCCAAGUCGCGUGAGGGAUGACGGCCCUACGGGUUGUAAACCUCUUUUGCCGGGGAGCAAAGAGCGGGACGCGUCCCGCCUCGAGAGUACCCGGAGAAACAGCAUCGGCUCACUCCGUGCCAGCAGCCGCGGUAAUACGGAGGAUGCGAGCGUUAUCCGGAUUUAUUGGGUUUAAAGGGUGCGCAGGCGGAAGCGCAAGUCAGCGGUAAGAUUGAUAGGCUCAACCUCUUCCCGCCGUUGAACCUGC